CUACGGGAGGCAGCAGUGGGGGAUAUUGCACAAUGGAGGAAACUCUGAUGCAGCGACGCCGCGUGAGGGAAGAAGGUUUUCGGAUUGUAAACCUCUGUCUUCGGGGACGAAACAAAUGACGGUACUCGAGGAGGAAGCCACGGCUAACUACGUGCCAGCAGCC
rnacentral:rRNA from 1 species